UACGUAGGUGGCGAGCGUUGUCCGGAUUUACUGGGCGUAAAGGGAGCAUAGGCGGACUUUUAAGUGAGAUGUGAAAUACCCGGGCUCAACUUGGGUGCUGCAUUUCAAACUGGAAGUCUAGAGUGCAGGAGAGGAGAAUGGAAUUCCUAGUGUAGCGGUGAAAUGCGUAGAGAUUAGGAAGAACACCAGUGGCGAAGGCGAUUCUCUGGACUGUAACUGACGCUGAGGCUCGAAAGCGUGGGGAGCAAACAGGAUUAGAUA
rnacentral:rRNA from 1 species